AUUGUAUGGAUUAUUAAUUUCUUUAUCAAUCAGGGAAAACUUCAAAUACCUCUCUUGUUGUUUCGUAGUUUCUCACUUUAGUACUAUGUGAUUUAAAGUAUAUCAAGUUAGCACCCUGUGAUUUCGCACUUUCUCACUUUAGUAUCAUGUGGUUUAAAGUGUAUCAAGUUAGUAUCAUGUGUUUCGCACUUUCUCACUUUAGUACCCUGUGGUUAAAGUGUAUCAAGUUAGUACUCUGUGGUUUUAUUUUUAUAUCAAGUUAGUACAUUGUGGUUUUAUUUUUCUCUUUUUAUUAUCGAUUUUGGGGUAUUUUUUUCGUUAAAUCAGUGACAAAGUUAAAACUAAAAGGUACUAAAAUAUAUAUUCGAUAAACCUACGUAGAGUAUCUGAAGUUUUUUUGUAUAUAAUUUAACGAAAUAUUAAACCACAUGGUACUAAAAUGAGAAAGUGUGAAACCACAAGGUAUUAACUUGAUACACUUUAAACCACAGGGUACUAAAGUGAGAAAGUGCGAAAUCACAUGGUACUAAUUUGAUACACUUUAAACAUAAAAUACUAAAGUGAAAAAGUGCGAAACCACAUAGAAAUAUUUGAAGUUUUCCCUGUC
rnacentral:lncRNA from 1 species